rnacentral:misc_RNA from 1 species
CAGAGUUGCAAAACUCCCUAAACCAUUGUGAACCUUACCUCUACCGUUGCUUCGGCGGGCGGGCCUAGCGCCCCCCGGGCCCCCGCGGGCGCCCGCCGGAGGUCACCCAAACUCUUGAUACUGUAUGGCCUCUCUGAGUAUUCUGUACUGAAUAAGUCA